rnacentral:rRNA from 1 species
GAUAAACGCUGGCGGCGUGCCUAAUACAUGCAAGUCGAGCGAACGGACGAGAAGCUUGCUUCUCUGAUGUUAGCGGCGGACGGGUGAGUAACACGUGGAUAACCUACCUAUAAGACUGGGAUAACUUCGGGAAACCGGAGCUAAUACCGGAUAAUAUUUUGAACCGCAUGGUUCAAAAGUGAAAGACGGUCUUGCUGUCACUUAUAGAUGGAUCCGCGCUGCAUUAGCUAGUUGGUAAGGUAACGGCUUACCAAGGCAACGAUGCAUAGCCGACCUGAGAGGGUGAUCGGCCACACUGGAACUGAGACACGGUCCAGACUCCUACGGGAGGCAGCAGUCGGGAAUCUUCCGCAAUGGGCGAAAGCCUGACGGAGCAACGCCGCGUGAGUGAUGAAGGUCUUCGGAUCGUAAAACUCUGUUAUUAGGGAAGAACAUAUGUGUAAGUAACUGUGCACAUCUUGACGGUACCUAAUCAGAAAGCCACGGCUAACUACGUGCCAGCAGCCGCGGUAAUACGUAGGUGGCAAGCGUUAUCCGGAAUUAUUGGGCGUAAAGCGCGCGUAGGCGGUUUUUUAAGUCUGAUGUGAAAGCCCACGGCUCAACCGUGGAGGGUCAUUGGAAACUGGAAAACUUGAGUGCAGAAGAGGAAAGUGGAAUUCCAUGUGUAGCGGUGAAAUGCGCAGAGAUAUGGAGGAACACCAGUGGCGAAGGCGACUUUCUGGUCUGUAACUGACGCUGAUGUGCGAAAGCGUGGGGAUCAAACAGGAUUAGAUACCCUGGUAGUCCACGCCGUAAACGAUGAGUGCUAAGUGUUAGGGGGUUUCCGCCCCUUAGUGCUGCAGCUAACGCAUUAAGCACUCCGCCUGGGGAGUACGACCGCAAGGUUGAAACUCAAAGGAAUUGACGGGGACCCGCACAAGCGGUGGAGCAUGUGGUUUAAUUCGAAGCAACGCGAAGAACCUUACCAAAUCUUGACAUCCUUUGACAACUCUAGAGAUAGAGCCUUCCCCUUCGGGGGACAAAGUGACAGGUGGUGCAUGGUUGUCGUCAGCUCGUGUCGUGAGAUGUUGGGUUAAGUCCCGCAACGAGCGCAACCCUUAAGCUUAGUUGCCAUCAUUAAGUUGGGCACUCUAAGUUGACUGCCGGUGACAAACCGGAGGAAGGUGGGGAUGACGUCAAAUCAUCAUGCCCCUUAUGAUUUGGGCUACACACGUGCUACAAUGGACAAUACAAAGGGCAGCGAAACCGCGAGGUCAAGCAAAUCCCAUAAAGUUGUUCUCAGUUCGGAUUGUAGUCUGCAACUCGACUACAUGAAGCUGGAAUCGCUAGUAAUCGUAGAUCAGCAUGCUACGGUGAAUACGUUCCCGGGUCU